GACGAACGCUGGCGGCGUGCUUAACACAUGCAAGUCGAGCGGAGGGGCGAACGGGUGAGUAACGCGUGAGUAACUGCCCCCCUCUCUGGGAUAACAGUUGGAAACGGCUGCUAAUCCCGGAUAGUGGGGGAUGGCUCGGGUCCUAUCAGCUUGUUGGUGGGGUAGUGGCGUACCAAGGCGACGACGGGUAGCCGGCCUGAGAAGGGGACCGGCCACAUUGGUCUACGAUAGGGCGCAAACUCGAACAGGGGGCAUCGGGGGGGAGUAUUGUGCAACGGUGGAGACCCUGUGGCAACAGCGCCGCGGUCGGGAUGACGGCCUACGGGUUGUGAACGGCUUUCAGCCAUGACGCGGUAGUGGCAGAAGAAGCGCCGGCUAACUACGUGCCAGCAGCCGCGGUAAUAC
rnacentral:rRNA from 1 species